rnacentral:lncRNA from 1 species
UCAAUCAAUACAAGAAAUUAUUAUCAAUUCCAUAGUCCUAAUUGCUAUUCUUCUAUUCAUGUGACUUAAUAUUGCAUUCUUUUUCAAAGGUGGGAAACCAAGCUGCACUUCCACUCUGAAAGAGAAGAGGAAAGCAGAUGAACAGCUGGUGUGUGCACAUUUGGACAGCUCUGACAAUGCAUCCCUUCUCAAGGUGACAGGAACAUGCAGCUGCCUAAUGGUCCCUGUUUUCCCUUCUGUGUCUUGUUGUUCUCUGUCUCUGUCUCUGUAUCUCAUUCUCUUCCUCUCUUCUUUUUGUUUUUAUUUUUCAGGUAAUGUGAAAAAGUGUAAGGAGCAUUGAAUUUG